AAGUCGUAACAAGGUUUCCGUAGGUGAACCUGCGGAAGGAUCGUUAAAGAAGUAGCUUCGCGGCCAAGUUCUCACCCUUUGUAUACCGAAACCAUGUUGCUUUGGCAGGCCCCUGCAUUUCUCGGGCCUGCCAGAGGUUAAUAAAGCCCUAGAAUCUCUGCUGUCUGAAGUAACUAAUACAAUAGUUAAAA
rnacentral:misc_RNA from 1 species